UACGAAGGGUGCUAGCGUUGCUCGGAAUUACUGGGCGUAAAGGGCGCGUAGGCGGAUAUUUAAGUUAGAGGUGAAAGCCCAGGGCUCAACCCUGGAAUAGCCUUUAAUACUGGAUAUCUUGAGUUCGGGAGAGGUGAGUGGAACUCCGAGUGUAGAGGUGAAAUUCGUAGAUAUUCGGAAGAACACCAGUGGCGAAGGCGACUCACUGGCCCGAUACUGACGCUGAGGCGCGAAAGCGUGGGGAGCAAACAGG
rnacentral:rRNA from 1 species